ACAAGUCAGCUGAUUGCUGUGUCACGGCAAUGGUUUUAGGCGAGUGGCAGCACUCUGGCUACAGACGUAGAGUCUUUUUUUCCUCCCAGACGCACUGCGGCACAGCCAGACGACUAGAGUGGAGGCACAGGAGCUCACAGCUGCAGUCUACUGGCUUGUUUCGGGAGGUAGAGGAGCCGAGCACUUCCUCUCGAAAUACCGUCGCUCUGCUCCUUUUUGCUGUUGAGGGAUCAUUUUCAUCGGGGAAGAGCAUUCGAAGAGAGUAGAGCCAAAAAAAGAAGACAAACUCUGAGUCAAACAACUUGGAAUUAACGUUGGUCUCAUUUGUGGGCAGAAAAUUUGGAGAAGCGAGCCCGGAUCGUGAUUUUUUUGGGGGUCUGCUGACGCCAUCGUCUACAAGUACCGGACCAGGUUCCCAGGCUGAGAAGUCACCGAUAAAAAGCUUGGAUUCCAGUGCGUCACCUGUCCGUCCCAUCGUAAACAGAGGAGCCGAGCACUUCCUCUCGAAAUACCGUCGCUCUGCUCCUUUUUGCUGUUGAGGGAUCAUUUUCAUCGGGGAAGAGCAUUCGAAGAGAGUAGAGCCAAAAAAAGAAGACAAACUCUGAGUCAAACAACUUGGAAUUAACGUUGGUCUCAUUUGUGGGCAGAAAAUUUGGAGAAGCGAGCCCGGAUCGUGAUAUUUUUGGGGGUCUGCUGACGCCAUCGUCUACAAGUACCGGACCAGGUUCCCAGGCUGAGAAGUCACCGAUAAAAAGCUUGGAUUCCAGUGUGUCACCUGUCCGUCCCAUCGUAAACUCGUCCCACCCGAGACGUCCAGUCAGCCGGGCCCGUCUGCAUUCUCAUUCGCAGUGACUGGCCAAAGUGGCCGCUCCACUCCAAGGUUAAGGUGGCUUUCGGUCCUAGACUUAGUCCUUGUUCAGAGGGCAGGGCAGAGCCGAACAGAAACAGCGACGCGGCAGCUGAGCCGAGCUCAGCCAGACAGACGCGCUGACCUAAAUCAGCCCCAGUCAUGUCUGGACGCAGCCAGAGCGAAGCAGACGGAGAGGAAGACAGAGCGAGAGAGAGAGGGAGAGAGCGACCCACACGUACUGACUCGAACAUAUACUCGCACUACGGGAUGGAGAGAAACGAAGGAGGCUGUAAGGGGAGGGGGAGACAGAGUUGUCUCUCUCUCCCUCUCUCGCUCUUUUUUCGCCACCGCUUUAUUUUGUUCCAUUUGCUGGUGUUUAUAUUCACCGUAUAUCUGCGCUGAUCACCACCAUUGCUGCACAUCGAAACGUAGAGUCGUUGUCCCCCUCACCUCCCCCGUUUGCACUGUUGGGUCCAGUAAACGGCCGGAUAAAAGACGGGCUGAAGUGAGUUGGUCAGACAGGCCUUGCCAAAGCCACAGGCUGUUCUGCUGCUUUGCUGCCGCUGUGGUGUUUUGA
rnacentral:lncRNA from 1 species